rnacentral:rRNA from 1 species
UUGAACGCUGGCGGAAUGCUUUACACAUGCAAGUCGAACGGCAGCACGGGGGCAACCUUGGUGGCGAGUGGCGAACGGGUGAGUAAUGUAUCGGAACGUACCUAGUCGUGGGGGAUAACUAUCCGAAAGGAUAGCUAAUACCGCAUACGUCCUGAGGGAGAAAGCGGGGGAUCGCAAGACCUCGCGCGAUUGGAGCGGCCGAUAUCAGAUUAGCUAGUUGGUGGGGUAAAAGCUCACCAAGGCGACGAUCUGUAGCUGGUCUGAGAGGACGACCAGCCACACUGGAACUGAGACACGGUCCAGACUCCUACGGGAGGCAGCAGUGGGGAAUUUUGGACAAUGGGCGCAAGCCUGAUCCAGCAAUGCCGCGUGCAGGAUGAAGGCCUUCGGGUUGUAAACUGCUUUUGUACGGAACGAAACGGUUCUCUUUAAUAAAGAGGGCUAAUGACGGUACCGUAAGAAUAAGCACCGGCUAACUACGU